rnacentral:rRNA from 1 species
GACAGAGGAUGCAAGCGUUAUCCGGAAUGAUUGGGCGUAAAGCGUCUGUAGGUGGCUUUUUAAGUCCGCCGUCAAAUCCCAGGGCUCAACCCUGGACAGGCGGUGGAAACUACCAAGCUGGAGUACGGUAGGGGAGACUGGAAUUCCUGGUGUAGCGGUGAAAUGCGCAGAUAUCAGGAGGAACACCGAUGGCGAAGGCAGGUCUCUGGGCAUUAACUGACGCUGAGGAGCGAAAAGCAUGGGGGAGCGAACAGG